rnacentral:rRNA from 1 species
UUGAACGCUGGCGGCAGGCCUAACACCUGCAAGUCGAGCGGAUGAAGGGAGCUUGCUCCUGGAUUCAGCGGCGGACGGGUGAGUAAUGCCUAGGAAUCUGCCUGGUAGUGGGGGAUAACGUCCGGAAACGGGCGCUAAUACCGCAUACGUCCUGAGGGAGAAAGUGGGGGAUCUUCGGACCUCACGCUAUCAGAUGAGCCUAGGUCGGAUUAGCUAGUUGGUGGGGUAAAGGCCUACCGAGGCGACGAUCCGUAACUGGUCUGAGAGGAUGAUCAGUCACACUGGAACUGAGACACGGUCCAGACUCCUACGGGAGGCAGCAGUGGGGAAUAUUGGACAAUGGGCGAAAGCCUGAUCCAGCCAUGCCGCGUGUGUGAAGAAGGUCUUCGGAUUGUAAAGCACUUUAAGUUGGGAGGAAGGGCAGUAAGUUAAUACCUUGCUGUUUUGACGUUACCAACAGAAUAAGCACCGGCUAACUUCGUG